UUGUGCAUUUUUUUUUUUUGUUCUCUUAUUGUAGUCAACCACAGCAUCAUUUUUUUACCUGUCCUGCUCCUCAUCUCCUUAAGUAAAUUCAAUUUGAAUCACCUUCUCUGUUUAACACUUAUGUGCAUCAAAACUUCAAACUAUAUAGGAAGGCUACCAAAAACGAAAAAAGAAAAAAAGAAGGGGAUUAAUGGAGUUGGCCCCAAUCGGUUGGGACCAAUGCUUGGAUUAUCUUCUGAUGAAGUUACCGUGGAUGGCUGCUAUUUGCUGGUGCAAGUAACUCUUUAAAACCCUAAGUACUUAGCCAAAUUGAUGGCUUUAAUGAUAUUUUGAUGAUUUUAUAGUUUUUUUAAUUUUUAUUUUUGAGAAUUCUUUUAUGCAAUUUAGCGAGUGCACAAACACACACAUGAUAAGUUAAGAUAGAAAUGAUAAUAUGAAAAAACCACUCUCAUUGACAUCGUGAAAUCAGUGUCACAGUAGUAUUGUGUCUAAAGUAUCUUUGUUAACAUCUACCUUUUUUAUGGUUCAGAAAUUGUAAAUUGCUGCUUCUAAAGUAACCAAUUCAUACCUUUAAGUUUAAUCUGGAAUCAUGCCCUAUGUUUGAUAUAUUUCAUAUCAAUAUAUGUUGCUUCAAGUACUUUAUAGUUUUUAUGUUAAAUGUUUCUCAGUUAUGAAGUAUAUUUAAUGCUAAGGCAGUUGCUAUAUGCAUGCUGCCAUGACAAAUCAACAGCUAACAGAUAGUGGAAACCGGAUGAUGGACAAGACUGAUCAAGCCAUUGGAGGUCAUAAAAGACUGUUCAAGACACCAUCAACGUUGGAACAGAAACUGCAGCUGCACUCAAGGAUCAGACUGAACAAAUGAGUCAGGCUGUUAAGUGUUAAUGAGCUGGACUAUCCAUUUCUCGAUCAAGAAAGCUUCUCAACUUGUGAAGGAACUUGGUAGGCAGGUUGCAACUGAUAGGUGUAUUAUGGCAUUACUCUUCCUAAUUAUUGCCAUUGGAGUCAUAGCUAUCAUUAUUGUAAAGGAGGGACAAUCAUGGCACGGGGAUUGAGGUCCCUAUUGAGGUGGAAAAAAGGAUGCAUAUUUAUUACAUUCGGAACAGAGGGUUUGGUAACAGAUUUAAUGUGUUGGGUGAUGACAAUCAUGGCACUCCGAAUGACUUAACGCAAUGACCCAGAAAUCAAGAAGGCAUGUGACUCAUACAGUGAUCAUUUUGGACAGUUCAUCAAACUGAUAUUCUAUGGCAUCCAAAAGGUAUCAUGAUUAUGCAUGAACAGCAAAACAGUCUCUUAUUAAUUUGUCGUUGAACUUGGGAUUAUUACUACAAAUUUUCAACUUGAGUCAAAGGGAUGUCCUAAUUAUUGCAUUGGAGAUCUUAAACCGAAAUCUCAAAUUGUAUUUAGGAGCAGUACUAGUAGAAGUUGGCUGUACAAAGUCAAAGCUUGUGUGCUUGCAUUUAUAGUGACUUGAUGUGAAGAGUGUGGAAGGAAGAAAAGAAGAAAAAUGUGUGAAAUAAAAGGAAAGGCCAUUCGGCCAUGGGUCUCCAGUUUCUACAUGACCACAUUCAUUUUUUUCUAAA